rnacentral:lncRNA from 1 species
CGAACACCAAAAGAAGCACUUUUCUAAUGCAUCCUUACCAGAAAAAAUCCUGAUGUGUACCAAUUCACCUCUCAACAAUCACUAAAUUUACCUGCUGCCUCCAUAUUUGUGUUAAAAACAAUUGUGCUAAUUUCAAUGAUAUGCAAGAAAAAUGUUAGACCGCAGCGAGUGACCAAAGGGAUGUGUGUGGACAGAGGCACUAUUAUAUUACCAGAUUUAGAUUGAACUGAAAAUGAUUUGUAUUCUAGAUCCACAUUUGAUGCACUGGUCAUUAUUACCCACCCACUCCUUUUCAGCUUUUCAAUUUCAGGCCAAUUGUAAAAAAUGUUGGGGGGAGUGUGUGUAUCACCAAUAGAUCUGUUAUGAGUUGCAUUUUGCAUUGCUUUUGGUAACAUUGCCGGUACCUGUAAACUGGUCCCUGUUAUCCACAAACACCUAUCUUUGUGUCUGUGUGGAUUUAGGUAAAGUUGCUUCCAAAUGCUGAUCUAAGGUCAGUUGUCGAUUUUUCAUUUAUUUUAUUUUUUACCUCCCAAUGUUUAAAGCUAGGAUUGGGCUAGAGUGAACUGACACCAGAUGUACACUUUAGGGUGGCUUCUACCUCCAGUCUGUCUGUUUGUGUACUGAAUCUAGGACAAGGAGAACAGACUUGGCUCUCCUAUUGAUUUAGAUGCUACUGCUCCUCCUGCUGGCCUUAUCAUGUAAUGCCUUAAUCAGACCACCUCUCUUCAGAGCCUUUCAGGAUAGGCAUCUGUUCACUGCAACAACACACCAGCCAAUAAGAAGACAUGUUGACAAGUCUGGUUCCUAUAUAGCAGUGUUGCUCAACUGGAUUCCUGGGGUACCGUAUGGUGUUGCAUAUUUUUGUUCUAGCCCAGCCCGAACACCUGAAUCAACUAAUUACAGGUUUAAUUAUUAGUUGAGUCUUAUUUUUGAAUCAGGUGUGUUUGCUGGGCUAGAACAGAAAAUGGAGCUGUGCUGCGGUGUGGACGAUCAAGACCUGGACUUAAGAAAUGGAAGCUGUAGAGAGGGAGACUAUACAGCUGCCUCAAUGCCCCUUAGAGGUCAAAAUGAUUUAGCCUGUGGAAAUGGUUGAGUUUUAGGAGAUGACACUGGUCUCACUUUAAAUCAAUUUUAGCGCAGACAAGGUUGAGAAAGCAGAAUUUGAAGAUUUCAAAUACAGGAACCUCAAUUUUUUUCCCUCUAAGGUCAUCAGAGUGAAAGGAAGUGAAGGGCCUUUUUUUAUUCUUCAGAUAUGCUUAUUUGUGUUCCUCUGCAGUCAAAACAUUUGAGGUUGUGAAAUGCUACAUUUUACAAUAAUAUUCUACCCUCUUGGUAAACCUCAGUGUUUACUCCUGAGUGGUUAUCUUGUCUGUUUUCAAUUUAUUUUCUUUUGUGUUGUCAAUGUGAACUGAAAAUGUAUGAUGUCCUGUAAUUUGUAUUUUUUUAAUCAUUGAAUGAUCUUGCUUUUUCAUGGGGGGAAAGUAUUUAAACAGCGAUUGAGUGCACUACUUAUUUUGUACCUACUGUUGACUGUAGUUAGAAUGCCAGUCUCGCUCUCUACCAUCUAGAUACUAUCCACUGUUUCACUUGUGUAUUAUGGAAAUGGUGGAAAGAACUCUGUGGCUUUGAGUCAAGGCUGGAGGAAUUGUCAAUUUCCUUAUGCUUCUAUUGAAGAACUCCCUUGUACACAGACAGACACACAGGCUUGUGUGAUACGUUCCUAUGAUACGUUUUUAUCUUUGGAGUCAGUUCCCUGGUUGUCUUUUAUAGGGACAAACAAAAGCUAUUGUAUGUCUUGAGUAAGUAUCUCUGCAGUUUAAAUUAUUUCAAAUGUACUUGAAUUGAAAGAUGUGGGACGAGUCUUAGUCAAGUAGUGGAAUGUCAGGAUUUACUCAAAUGCCAUUGUCUGACUAAAUUAUGUGCUUGUGAGUGAUCUUAAUUCAUGGAUUGGUCAGUUGAUUCACCCACCUAUCAUUCAGACUUUUACACAUUGCUGCUGACCACACCAGGAUAAUUCUGAACUAGGUAAAAGGCUUAAGCUGUGGUGUCGCUCUCCUUCUCUUGCUCUCUCCAUUUCUCUCUCCUUCACCUUGUUGUUUUUGCUGGCUUCCUCCCUUCCUUGAAGUAAUAAGUGAUAUAAUGUGACAGUUGAAAGAAAUGGCUUUUCCCUUACGGAUUUCACCUGUCUAGUCAUGUCCAAUCAGUGAUUACUUGAAGGAAGAGAGAAAGGACUGUAUUUAUCCCAGGCCUUUUGACUUUCUAUGACCCUGGUGCAGCAUGGAGGUGCUGACCCCAGGGUUUCUUGAGAGGACAGAGGAUGUAUUUUCCACG